rnacentral:rRNA from 1 species
UACGUAGGGGGCAAGCGUUGUCCGGAAUCAUUGGGCGUAAAGCGCGCGUAGGCGGCCCUGUAAGUCCGUUGUGAAAGUCAAAGGCUCAACCUUUGAAAGCCGAUGGAUACUGCAGGGCUAGAGUCCGGAAGAGGCGAGUGGAAUUCCUGGUGUAGCGGUGAAAUGCGCAGAUAUCAGGAGGAACACCGGUGGCGAAGGCGGGUCUCUGGGCCGAUACUGACGCUGAGGAGCGAAAGCGUGGGGAGCGAACAGG